rnacentral:lncRNA from 1 species
GGGAUCAAUUAAGUAAAUUAUUAUAGAGAAUGGAUCAUGUCACUGGUGAUAUUUGACCAAGCCAAAUUAGAAAUCAAACAUUAAGUGCCCGACUGUGUGAUCAAGUCCAAGAAUCCAAUAAAAAUGGGUCUCGGGUUCCAUUUCUAGAAGAACUUUAAAAGGAUUUGUACAGAGAAGUUAGAAAAAUAAUGGAGUUCUAGAGAGACAAGUUUGAGAAGAAGGAUCAAACGAGGAGGAGAAAAAGUGUUAUUUGUGAGAAAAUGCUACGAAGUUCAGAGUCUUUGAAUACUUGAGAUUCAUCUAAGGUGAAGACGUGAUUCGCGGAAACCCAUUAGUUUAUGUUUUAGCG